AAGGUUGAUUGGCAGGGGAGAUACCAUGAUCACCAAGGUGGUUUUCCCAGGGCGAGGCUUAUCCAUUGCACUCCGGAUGUGCUGACCCCUGCGAUUUUCCCCAAAUGUGGGAAACUCGACUGCAUAAUUUGUGGUAGUGGGGGACUGCGUUCGCGCUCUCCUCUG
rnacentral:snRNA from 1 species